rnacentral:rRNA from 1 species
GGAAUAUUGGACAAUGGGCGAAAGCCUGAUCCAGCAAUGCCGCGUGAGUGAUGAAGGCCUUAGGGUUGUAAAGCUCUUUUACCCGGGAUGAUAAUGACAGUACCGGGAGAAUAAGCUCCGGCUAACUCCGUGCCAGCAGCCGCGGUAAUACGGAGGGAGCUAGCGUUGUUCGGAAUUACUGGGCGUAAAGCGCACGUAGGCGGCUUUUCAAGUCAGGGGUGAAAGCCCGGGGCUCAACCCCGGAAUUGCCCUUGAAACUGGAAAGCUAGAAUCACGGAGAGGUGGGUGGAAUUCCGAGUGUAGAGGUGAAAUUCGUAGAUAUUCGGAAGAACACCAGUGGCGAAGGCGGCCCACUGGACGUGUAUUGACGCUGGGGUGCGAAAGCGUGGGGAGC